GAUGUAGAUGUGAUGAUUAUCUUCAUGUCUCUUCUCUGACUGAUGCUGGAGAGAACAUUUAUCUAUCUGAUCUCUUCUCAUCCACAAAUAUGACAUC
ensembl:snoRNA